GACAGAGGGUGCAAACGUUGUUCGGAAUUACUGGGCGUAAAGCGCAUGUAGGCGGCAGCGCAAGUCGGGCGUGAAAUCCCACGGCUCAACCGUGGAAGUGCACUCGAAACUGCGCAGCUAGAGUCCUGGAGAGGAAGGUGGAAUGCUUGGUGUAGAGGUGAAAUUCGUAGAUAUCAAGCGGAACACCGGUGGCGAAGGCGGCCUUCUGGGACAGUGACUGACGCUGA
rnacentral:rRNA from 1 species